rnacentral:ncRNA from 1 species
GGGGGCUGAAACUUAAAGGAAUUGACGGAAGGGCACCACCAGGAGUGGAGCCUGCAGCUUAAUUUGACUCAACACGGGGAAACUAACCAGGUCCAAACAUAGUAAGGAUUGAUAGACUGAGAGCUCUUUCUUGAUUCUUUGGGUGGUGGUGCAUGGCCGUUCUUAGUUGGUGAAGCGAUUUGUCUGGUUAAUUCUGUUAACGAACGAGACCUCAGCCUGCUAACUAGCUACGUGGAGGCAUCCCUUCAUGGUCGGCUUCUUAGAGGGACUAUGGCCGUUUAGGCCAAGGAAGUUUGAGGCAAUAACAGGUAUGUGAUGCCCUUAGAUGUUCUGGGCCGCACGCGUGCUACACUGAUGUAUUCAACGAGGUCACACCUUGGCCGACAAGCCCAGGUAAUCUUUAAAAUUUCAUCGUGAUGGGGAUAGAUCAUUGCAAUUGUUGGUCUUCAACGAGGAAUUCCUAGUAAGGACGAGUCAUCAGCUCGUGUUGACUACGUCCCUGCCCUUUGUACACACCGCCCGUCGCUCCUACCGAUUGAAUGAUCCGGUGAAGUGUUUGGAUCGCGGCGACGUGGGUGGUUCGCCGUCUGCAACGUCGCGAGAAGACCACUAAACCUUAUCAUUUAGAGGAAGGAGAAGUCGUAACAUGGUUUCCGUAGGUGAACCUACGGAAG